rnacentral:rRNA from 1 species
GCGACAGGCGGGCCCGGGGCGGGGGGAAUGGGGGGGGUGCGAGCGUGGUCCGGACGCACUGUGCGGAAAGGGCGCGUAGGCGGGUCGGUAAGUGGCGGGUGGAAUCCCGGGGCUCAACGCCGGGGCUGCCGGCACGACUGCCGGACUUGAGCACGGUAGGGGCAGAUGGAAUUCCCGGUGUAGCGGUGGAAUGCGUAGAGAUCGGGAAGAAUACCAGUGGCGAAGGCGUUCUGCUGGGCCGUUGCUGACGCUGAGGCGCGACAGCGUGGGGAGCAAACAGGAUUAGAUACCCGAGUAGUC